UAGGGCAGCAACUGUAUGACAAUCCAAUGAUUGUGAAAUCUGUCAUACUGCUCAUUUCUUUCUUUUUUCCUCAUGCACUCUAAAAAUAGACAUCUUUGUGCAACAGACCCUUUCAAAGAAUGUAUUCUAAAAGCAAUAAUUUUUUUGCUGCUGUUUUUUGUUUCCAAGGUUUGAUUGAUUUCUAUUGGGGAAAAAAUCUACUUAUCAAGUUCCAUGAAUUCCAGUGGAAUUUACUCCCAGAAAAACAGGUUUAAGACCCCAGCCCUCUUUGUAUGAUUUCUUUUAUUGGCAAAUAUUAUAAGGAAUAUUACACAGAUUCCUGGAGACAAGAAGAACUUUUUUUCCACGGGCUUACUCCAAGCUAACAGAGGACUACAGCUUUGGUGGCUUCAAAUGGCAACUUUGUCUUCCUAAAAUAAUCCUGACAACUGGAUUGCUAAUCUUAUGUGAUUCAGGAGAAAUGUGGGAAUAAGGAGAAAUGGUAAGAAACAAUGGCUACAUGUCUUCAUUUUUUGUGGAAUACUUCAGGUCAGAUUUCUUAUCAACCAGCACUGUAGUACUUUAAGAGAGUCCAUUUCUUCCUUCAUCUCCUUCUCUAACAGCUGUUGUAUUAAUUCCCUUUCCUACUAAAACCUAAUAUUUCCUGUCAUACAGCUACUGAGCAUUUCAGUCCUCAUGGUUUUUUUUUUAAUUUCAGCAAGUCUCAAGGUUUUCCUGAGCAUCCUCAAUGGUCCUAUUUUGACUACAAACCUAUCAGCACUUAUCACCUGUUAUUAAAUGAAAUGAGAAACCUUUGGAAUAAUAAGCCUCAAUUAUAUUUUGUACCUCCUCAGUUAGAUAGUGUAUUUAAAGAAUGAAAUUUAUGCUUUGAGCUAUAUGCUCAAUGAAUUUCCCAACUGUUUGCUGAAAUACGACCUUUUCUUUCUGUUUUC